AGAGUUUGAUUCUGGCUCAGAACGAACGCUGGUGGCGUGUCUAUACAUGCAAGUCGAGCGAGGCAGCGAUGCCGAGCGGCGAACGGGUGAGUAACGCGUAAGCAAUCUGCCCCAUAUCAGGAAAUACCCGUGCCAACGCGCGGUUAAUGUCCAGGAGAGUGGCCCUCCGCAUGGAGGGUUGACUAGAGAUUUAUCGGUAUGGGAUGAGCUUGCGUCCGAUUAGCUAGUUGGCGGGUAACGGCCCACCAAGGCGACGAUCGGUAGCCGGCCUGAGAGGGUGAUCGGCCACAUUGGGACUGAGAUACGGCCCAGACUCCUACGGGAGGCAGCAGUAGGGAAUAUUGCACAAUGGGGGAAACCCUGAUGCAGCAACGCCACGUGUGGGAAGAAGCAUUUCGGUGUGUAAACCACUGUCAUGAGGAAUAAGGCCGCUUCGACGGACUUGAUGUACCUUGAGAGGAAGCACCGGCAAACUUCGUGCCAGCCGCGGC
rnacentral:rRNA from 1 species